rnacentral:rRNA from 1 species
GAUGAACGCUAGCUACAGGCUUAACACAUGCAAGUCGAGGGGCAGCAUGAACUUAGCUUGCUAAGUUUGAUGGCGACCGGCGCACGGGUGAGUAACACGUAUCCAACCUUCCGUUUACUCAGGGAUAGCCUUUCGAAAGAAAGAUUAAUACCUGAUAGUAUGGUGAGAUUGCAUGAUAACACCAUUAAAGAUUUAUUGGUAAACGAUGGGGAUGCGUUCCAUUAGGUAGUAGGCGGGGUAACGGCCCACCUAGCCUGCGAUGGAUAGGGGUUCUGAGAGGAAGGUCCCCCACAUUGGAACUGAGACACGGUCCAAACUCCUACGGGAGGCAGCAGUGAGGAAUAUUGGUCAAUGGACGAGAGUCUGAACCAGCCAAGUAGCGUGCAGGAUGACGGCCCUAUGGGUUGUAAACUGCUUUUAUAAGGGAAUAAAGUGAGUCUCGUGAGACUUUUUGCAUGUACCUUAUGAAUAAGGACCGGCUAAUUCCGUGCCAGCAGCCG